rnacentral:lncRNA from 1 species
AUUCCAGAGAACCAGCAAAAGCAUCGUCAACAUUUGACCUCAGCAUCAUCGUUGGACAUCAGGAAGACAAACAUGCAUCACCAGGAGCCCUUAAUAAUCCCAGUUGCCCCCCCCCCAUAGAAGCAUAGAUUUAGGUCUAAAGAGUCAUGGAGAUUUACUGGAUCCAUUCUGGCAACUGAAAAAUGUUGCAGUGGUCUCCAUNUUUUUACUUUUAAGGCCAAAAAAUGUGGCAGGGGUGACUUGGCCUUUAGAGAUUGAAAAUUAAGCACAGUUGGUAAUUUAACAGCACCCUGUGUUUUAUUCAUUCUGCGCCAUAGAAUUUAACUGCGUACUAAACUAAACUAAACUAAACGCAUGUGAUGCUGGAGAAUUUAAUCUGUAGGAAAUUGCAGUAAAAACAUCUUUAUGGUGUUUGAACUACUACAUUUUGGCUGGAUCGUAGAAUUCAACUAGUCCUGCUGCAAUUAAACUAAAUGCAUGAGAUGCUUGAUAGUUUAAUCUGUAUGAAAUUCUACUUCCCACCUUCAUGGUGCAAAGAUCUUAGUUCUGCUGGACCCUGGCUGCAGCUAAACAGUAUAAACUAGAUAAUUCCCCCCUAUCCUGGUAGAAAUUAAAAUGAUGCAAGAAUUCGCCGUGUUCAGUGAUGGAAGCAGCAAAGGAUGUGGAAGAAGCCUGUUCUCCAUCGAAGACUUCAGGAUUGUGAGAAGAAGAUCCGCAAGAGCAACAAGAGGCAAUAAAAUCAGAUCUACUGCAGAACUCCGUGAUGAAAACACAAAGUCUCCAGGCUUCAUAAACGGCUGGCUUUGAGGGCAUCCAGUCUCGGUCAAUGCCUACUCCAGCCGUUCCAGAUGGACAAGGAGAACUGUGAAGGCAAAGGAAACUGUCUUUGCAGCUGCGUCCUGCAUNCCUGAUUCUCAAACACAAUGCCAUGGAUUUAACUCAUGACACCUUUAUUCCAAGAGCCUGAAAUGCUUCAAAACAGAACACCUGUAUUUGCCAGUCAGAGGGACAGAAAGUUAUUUAGAGUCUAAGCAACUAAGAGCUUGUGUGAAACUUGUUUUAUGUAUGGUGUAUAUUUUUAAAAAACAUGAAUCUACUUUUUCAUUACCUUUUGUAAGUCUUAAAGAAAUUAAAUUAUCAGGCAAUUAUAACCAUUCAGUGAAUACUGUCCACAGGAAAAGCUGCGGGGGGGGGGGGGACAGAGUGAUUUCAGUUGGGUGGUUUUCCAGAAAUGUGUGCAAUAAAUCAGAAAGUUAAGAGUUCCCUGACUUUUGU